GUACUUGGUUUACUUUAACUGUGAUGAUUCUAAAACAUCAAUAUAAUAAUCUUUACCCUUUCAUCAUGUAUGCAUGUAUUGCUCUCUAAUGCAGUACCAUCAGUGACUCAAACCAGAGACCCCCUAAGAGAUCUUUUUAACUUUAUCCUCUCUCCCUCAUUCCUAAAGUCCAACAUUAUGUUCUCCCUUUUUCACCUUUAAAGUAUCUUCUCAUCUGUAUUAGUUUUCUAGGGCUGCUGUAACAAAGCACCACAUAUUGAAGUUUAUUACAGCAGAAAUUUAUUUUCUUAGUUCUGGAUGCCAGAAGUCCAAAAUCAAGGACCGUAAGAGGCAAUAUGAGCUGAUGAAACUUGAAAGAAACUUCCAGAAGCAGUCCAAUGUGCUCAGGCGUAAAACUGAGGAGGCAGCAGCUGCCAAUAAGCGUCUCAAAGAUGCUCUCCAAAAGCAACAGGAGGUCGCAGAUAAGCGGAAGGAGAUUCAGAGCCGUGGAAUGGAAGGCACUGCAGCUCGAGUGAAGAAUUGGCUUGGAAAUGAAAUUGAGGUUAUGGUCAGUACUCAGGAAGCCAAACGUCAUCUGAGUGACCUUCUUGAAGAUAGAAAGAUCCUGGCUCAGGACCUGGCUCAACUCAAAGAAAAAAAGGAAUCUGGGGAGAAUCCUCCUCCUAAACUUCGGGUAAGUGCCCUUAUGAAAAAAAAUGCUAGCAAUACUCAGACUCUACAUUCUCUAGAAAUCCUCACUGCUUUAGAAGAUUACUUUCCUUUUAGAACUUUACCCUUAACACUCACUAUUCUUUACAGAGGCGCACAUUCUCAUUUGCUGAAAUGCCUGGUCAAGUUUCAGAGUCAGAGGAUUCUAUUACAAAGCAGAUUGAAAGCCUAG
rnacentral:lncRNA from 1 species